AGGCGGCAUCCCACAUGCCACAACUAAAAGGACCCACAACUAAAAAUAUACAACUAUGUCCCUGGGGGCUUUGGGGAGAAAAAGGAAAAAUUAAGUCUUUGAAAAAAAAAUCAGGAUAGUAAAGCGAGCAUUCUUAAAUACUUGGAAUUUUUUAAAAAACAGAGGGGUAGAUUUAGUUUUUUAGUAUUAACAACACUAUAGUGAAGAAUGUUUGUUUCUAAAUGUUUACCAACUUCUUUAACUAUCACUAAAGAAUAAAGUCUUAGAAAAGAAAUUUUUACGCUAGAAACCUCCUUCAAUAGAAAUCAAAAGGGAGUCCACACGUUUGGAAUUAGUCUGCUCCUUUGCAGGCUGCCAUCUGCGGAUGUCAAGAUGAUGGCCAUAUUCUCAGAAUGAGACUGCUCCUGUGCCUGACUCAAAGCCUCUUCUUAAGAGGGAGCCCCUGUGCUUGGGGAAGACUAUUCCUCCACAUAACUUUCUGCUUCCAUCAGCAGGAGUCAAGUGGGAGCCCUAGAACCGUCCAUGCUUCUGGCAAGAUCGCACACCCCUCUCCCAUUAAUGAAUCCUCUUUGCAAAGAUCCGCCUUGGCAUCAUCAAGAAUAAGUUCACUAUGCCCCUUAUUCUUGCCAUGUCAAUCGCUACAAGAAACCCAAGAAUCCUCAUCCCUAGACUGUGACUCCUAUUAUGCUCUGUAUAUCUUCUUUUCUGGCUCUAACUCCUUCCCCACCCUAUCUCCUAAAACCAAUUCACUGAAUUCUCUAGAUUUUGCAAGCAGUCAUCAGCAUAUUUCUCCUUCACCUCAACCUCUUCUGAUGUUCCCUUCUCUUUCUUGCUUUAACCGAACUCUCGCUCAGUACGGAGGGCAUUGUUCCUCAAAAAUAACUGUUUUUCUCCUACACCUCUUGUGCCACUCAAGUCCUCUUUGCUACUCACUGACACUUCUAAACUAAUCUUCCUCUCUCCUCCAUAAAAACACUCAGUUGCGUAUCAGGUGUUGUUCAAGUUUACCACUCAUUUCUCUUCCUUGUUGUAUUAUCCUCUGUACUUCUCCACCUCCAAUCUAUUGAAGAUUUUAGAUCCUGGCUCACUGUCAGUCUGUAUUAGUUAUCUAUUUCAGUGUAACAAAUUACCCCCAAAACUAGUGGCUUAAAGCAACAAACACUUACCAUCUCAUAGUAUCUGUGGGUCAAGAGUCUGAAUGCAGUUUAGUUGAGUGCUUCUGGUGCAAGGUCUUGUAGGACUGCUUCAUAACAUGGCAGCUGGCUUCCCCAAGGUGAGUGAUCGAAUGAGAGUGAGAGAGUGUGCACUUAAGACAGAAGCCACAGUCUUUUUGUAACCUAAUCCCAGAAGUGACAUCCCAUCAUUUUUUUCUGUGUUUUAUUUGUUAGAAGUGAGUCCAUAAGUCCAGCUUCACUCAGUGGGAGAGAUUACACAAGAGUGUGGAUACCAGGAGGCAGGGAUCAUUGGGGACCACCUUAGAGGCUGCCUACUACACCCUGUUCUCUGGCUCCCUAAUGACUCCCAUCCCUCCAACAUGCAAAAUAUACUUUCCUCCCAACAGAUGUGUGAAGCAUACCGUCAAUCUCAUUAAAGGGACUUUGGUGACUGAAUAGUACUCUGAAGCACCUCCUUUAAUCUUUCUGAGGUUUUAACAAAAGGCUCUUUAAACUUUUGAAGCCAGGUACUUGAGGAAGAAAAAGAAUGCCUUCAAGGAAGUUAUGAUCACCAGAUGUCACCAGCUGCUGCUGACACCCAAAAGUCAGAUUGCCCAGGGGCUUAUUGGGAGUGAAAGAAACACAGAUUACCCCUUUGCUCCUCUGAAACUCCUGCUGCCAAGCCCCUUAGCUCUAUAGAAUACCCUGCUUUCUUCUCUUGUGAAGGCAGAUUUGAGAGACUCUAUCUUCCUGCCUUCUCUUUUGGCCAAUUUGAAUAAACCUUUCUCCAUCUCCAAGCAGAUGCCUCAGUGAUUGGCUUACUGUGUAUAGGGCACACACUUGAGGUUAAGAGGUUCAGUAUCACAUUCACUAAAACUCUUCUCAAAGUCACCGUUUUCUUUCAAAGCAACAAUCACAUUUUAAGUUAUUUUUUACUGUACCUCACUUCCAGGUUCCAAAAUCUGUAUUAGUUUUCUAUUGCCACAUGGCAAAUUACCCCAAUACUUAGUGGCUUAAAACAAUAGAUAUUUAUUAUAGCACGGUUUCUGUGAGUCAGGAAUCUGUGUAUGCCUUAGUUGGGCACUUCUGGCUCAAGGUAUCUCAGGAGAUUGUAGUCAGGCUUUGGCGGAGGCUGGAGUCUCAUCUGUAGAUUUGACUAGGGUGAGGAUGAGGGAAUCCACUUCCAAGCUCACUCACAUUGUUGGCAGCCUCAAUUCUCACCAAGUGAGUCUCUCUACAGGGCUGCCUCAUGACAUGCAGUUGGCUUUCCCCAGGGUAAGUGACCCAAGAGAGAAUGACAGCACCUAAGAGAGAAGCCACGGAGUUUUUAUAACCUGAUAUGAAUAUGACAUCCCAUCAUUUCCACUGUAUUCUAUUUGUUAUAAAUGAGUCAAUAAGUUCAGCCCAUACUCAGCUGGAGGGAAUUACAUAGAACAUGAAUAGCAGGAGGUGAGAAUCAUUGGGGCCAUUUUAGAGACUAGCAACAUACUUUUGCUCCAUUUUCUUGGUGAUUUCAAUAUUCAUAUAGAUGAUCCUUUCAAUUCCCUGGCCUCUCAGUUCCUUGGUCUCCUUUCUUUUGAUGACUUUUUCUACCACCCUCCCUUAGCCACUCCCUUUCCAAAAUCAUACCUUAGACUUUGUCAUUACCAACAAGCACACCUCUCCAUGAUUCCAAUUUCAUGUAUUUCACUCUCCUUCUACCUCCUCACUUUCCAGCUUGCUUCCUCUAGUACCCAAACUCCAUCAAUCCUUCUGCUCCAUGGGGACCUACCAUUAAUUGAUCCUACCAUUUCUCUCCUGCCCUGCACCCUCUCAUGUCCUCACUUCCUUCCUUACUCAACUUAAAUCAGAUUGUCAAUAUAUUUACUUCUUCGCAUCCAUCCUCAACUCUCUUACCUGGACUCAAUUCUUGCCCUCACUUAAUUCUCUGUAGUAAAUGAAAUCCAAAUAAACAUUGAUUAAAUCUGAUUCUUUGCUUACUCCAUUCCUGUAAUUGCAUAACUGAAUUUGGCUGGAGAGAAACACAUAACCACGUUGUUUGGUUUCACUUUACAAUCAUGACUGCUAAUCUAAAGUGGUCUCUUAAUGCUGCCCAGCAAUCCUACUUUAUUUCCUUAGUCCACUUAUGUUCCCAUUCUCUAGAUGACUAUUUCAUAGCUUGCCUUUCUUCAAAUCUCUAAUUAUUCCUCUCUUACUCUGAUUCUCAAUUGACUUGCUUCCUAUUUUAUUGAGAAAAUAAAAACUAUCAGAAGAGAACUUGCAUGAGCCUCCAUCACUACAUAUAUCCACUUACCAGCAUCUGUGCCCUAGAUCUCUUCCGAGGCAAUGGAGGGCUGUGCUUCGAAGUCAGUCAAUCCACUGUACCUCAGCUCCCAUCCCUGAAUUCUCCUGUCUCUGUGGGAUCCUUUCCACCAGCAUAUAAAAAUAGGCUUUCCUCCAUUAAAAAAAUCAUCUCUUGACCCUACUACUCUCUCCAACUACCACUCCAUUUUUCUUCUUCUUUUUACAGCAAAAUUCUGUGCAACAGUUCUCCCUGCUCACUGUCUCUAAUUUUCUCUUUCCACUCUCUCUUAAGCCAGUUCAGUUAAUCUUCCACUCUCACCAUUCCUUUGAAACUACUCCAGAUUACCAGUCAUCUCCCACUUUGCCAAAUCUAGGGUUAAUUCUCAGUCCUCGUUUUAUCUGAUUUUGCAGCAGCUUUUGCCAUAGAAGAUCCGCUCUCCAACUUGUAACUGUUGAUUCUUUCAGCUUCUAGGACUCCAGAGAUACCUGGUUUUCCUUCUACCUCUGUGCUCAUUCUGUCUCAGUCUCCUCUUCAUUUCUCCAACCUAUUAAUACUGCAGUGUCCUGAAGCUUAUUCUUCAGACAUCAUUUAUUUUCUAUCUAUAUUUAUUUCCAUAUGGUGACUACUCCAAAAUUAUAUGUUUAGUCAGAUUUCAUCUAAACUCCAGACUUGUAUAUCCAACUGCCUACUUGACAUUCUUAAGUAAGGCCUAAUCUAGUAGGCAUUUCAAAUGUAAGGUGUCCAAAACAGAGCUUUCCAUUUUCUCCCUCCUUGCGCUCAGUCUGACCCUCUAACUAGUCAUCCCAUCUCAGUAAAUGGCGACUCUAUCCUUCAGUUGCUCAGGGCAAAAACCUUGAAGCAAUUCUAGAUUUCUCUUCCUCACACUCCACGUCUACUCUGAAAGCAAAUCUUACCAACACUAACACACUAGAUAUCUUACAUAUUAAUGUUGUUUAUUUUAUGUCUCCCCACCAGAAUGUAAACUCCAUGAAAACACGGAAUUUUGUCUGUUUUAUUCACUAUUGUAUUCCGAGGGCCCAGAAUAGUGCCAGGCACAUAGGAGACAGUCAAUAAAUAUUUGUCAAGUAAAUUUAAGAAGA